UACGUAGGUCCCGGGCGUUGUCCGGAUUUAUUGGACGUAAAGCGAGCGCAGGUGGUUUAUUAAGUCUGGUGUAAAAGGCAGUGGCUCAACCAUUGUAUGCAUUGGAAACUGGUAGACUUGAGUGCAGGAGAGGAGAGUGGAAUUCCAUGUGUAGCGGUGAAAUCCGUAGAUAUAUGGAGGAACACCGGUGGCGAAAGCGGCUCUCUGGCCUGUAACUGACACUGAGGCUCGAAAGCGUGGGGAGCAAACAGG
rnacentral:rRNA from 1 species